GACGAACGCUGGCGGCGUGCUUAACACAUGCAAGUCGAACGGAAAGGCCCUGCUUUUGUGGGGUGCUCGAGUGGCGAACGGGUGAGUAACACGUGAGUAACCUGCCCUUGACUUUGGGAUAACUUCAGGAAACUGGGGCUAAUACCGGAUAGGAGCUCCUGCUGCAUGGUGGGGGUUGGAAAGUUUCGGCGGUUGUGGAUGGACUCGCGGCUUAUCAGCUUGUUGGUGGGGUAGUGGCUUACCAAGGCUUUGACGGGUAGCCCGCCUGGGAGGGUGACCAGCCACAUUGGGCCUGAGAUACGGCCCAGACUCCUACGGGAGGCAGUAGUGGGGAAUAUUGCACAGUGGGCGGAAGCGUGAUGCAGCAACGCCGCGUGCGGGAUGACGUCCUUCGGGUUGUAAACCGCUUUCGCCUGUGACGAAGCGUGAGUGACGGUAAUGGGUAAAGAAGCACCGGCUAACUACGUG
rnacentral:rRNA from 1 species